UGAAAAUGUUGAAAUCUGUAAUUUCGAUCCUUUGUCUGAUUAAUCAUGCUCAACCAACGCGAUCCAAAACAAACCCCUGUCCACAAUUCGUACCACCAGCGCCAUGGUUCUGUACUGGUGAGGUUAAGGUAUUCUACAUAGGAAAAGUGAAAUGUUAUGGACCUCCUGAAAUCAUUCCAUGCAAUGGUACUACGCCCUAACCAACUCAGCUUGUUAGUUAUACAGAGGUUAUAAUCUAGUUUUGCGUGAAGUUCAACAGGAUUAGCGCGAAACAUUGUGUUAUAAUGUAAUUAUAGAUUGUACAAUAAAGUAUAAUUUCUUGUACUUUUGCUCCAUAUAUCAGUGAAUUCAGUUGAAGAAAGGUAAAUUUACUAUAUUUUGCAAAUUUUAUAAUUUAGGGUACAUAAAUUACAAAUGUAUGUCUUGUGCUUACUGACAAAAACACCUACAUAUAACUAAAAGAGAUGUCUUCGUAUUACUCUGUGUACACUUAUUAUUUUGUUUAUUUUGUGUUAAAGAGGUGAUACAA